UACGUAGGUGGCAAGCGUUGUCCGGAUUUACUGGGCGUAAAGCGUGCGCAGGCGGUUUUGUAAGCCAGAUGUGAAAUCCCCGGGCUUAACCUGGGAAUGGCAUUUGGGACUGCAAGGCUCGAGUGCGGCAGAGGAGACUGGAAUUCCUGGUGUAGCAGUGAAAUGCGUAGAUAUCAGGAGGAACACCGAUGGCGAAGGCAGGUCUCUGGGCUGACACUGACGCUCAUGCACGAAAGCGUGGGGAGCAAACAGG
rnacentral:rRNA from 1 species